UUUGAUGUUUACAUGCCUGGACCUCUU
rnacentral:piRNA from 1 species